CAAAAGUGAAAGACGGUCUUGCUGUCACUUAUAGAUGGAUCCGCGCUGCAUUAGCUAGUUGGUAAGGUAACGGCUUACCAAGGCAACGAUGCAUAGCCGACCUGAGAGGGUGAUCGGCCACACUGGAACUGAGACACGGUCCAGACUCCUACGGGAGGCAGCAGUAGGGAAUCUUCCGCAAUGGGCGAAAGCCUGACGGAGCAACGCCGCGUGAGUGAUGAAGGUCUUCGGAUCGUAAAACUCUGUUAUUAGGGAAGAACAUAUGUGUAAGUAACUGUGCACAUCUUGACGGUACCUAAUCAGAAAGCCACGGCUAACUACGUGCCAGCAGCCGCGGUAAUACGUAGGUGGCAAGCGUUAUCCGGAAUUAUUGGGCGUAAAGCGCGCGUAGGCGGUUUUUUAAGUCUGAUGUGAAAGCCCACGGCUCAACCGUGGAGGGUCAUUGGAAACUGGAAAACUUGAGUGCAGAAGAGGAAAGUGGAAUUCCAUGUGUAGCGGUGAAAUGCGCAGAGAUAUGGAGGAACACCAGUGGCGAAGGCGACUUUCUGGUCUGUAACUGACGCUGAUGUGCGAAAGCGUGGGGAUCAAACAGGAUUAGAUACCCUGGUAGUCCACGCCGUAAACGAUGAGUGCUAAGUGUUAGGGGGUUUCCGCCCCUUAGUGCUGCAGCUAACGCAUUAAGCACUCCGCCUGGGGAGUACGACCGCAAGGUUGAAACUCAAAGGAAUUGACGGGGACCCGCACAAGCGGUGGAGCAUGUGGUUUAAUUCGAAGCAACGCGAAGAACCUUACCAAAUCUUGACAUCCUUUGACAACUCUAGAGAUAGAGCNNNNNNNNNNNNNNNNNNNNNNNNNNNNUUCCCCUUCGGGGGACAAAGUGACAGGUGGUGCAUGGUUGUCGUCAGCUCGUGUCGUGAGAUGUUGGGUUAAGUCCCGCAACGAGCGCAACCCUUAAGCUUAGUUGCCAUCAUUAAGUUGGGCACUCUAAGUUGACUGCCGGUGACAAACCGGAGGAAGGUGGGGAUGACGUCAAAUCAUCAUGCCCCUUAUGAUUUGGGCUACACACGUGCUACAAUGGACAAUACAAAGGGCAGCGAAACCGCGAGGUCAAGCAAAUCCCAUAAAGUUGUUCUCAGUUCGGAUUGUAGUCUGCAACUCGACUACAUGAAGCUGGAAUCGCUAGUAAUCGUAGAUCAGCAUGCUACGGUGAAUACGUUCCCGGGUCUUGUACACACCGCCCGUCACACCACGAGAGUUUGUAACACCCGAAGCCGGUGGAGUAACCUUUUAGGAGCUAGCCGUCGAAGGUGGGACAAAUGAUUGGGGUGAAGUCGUAACAAGGUAGCCGUAUCGGAAGGUGCGGCUGGAUCACCU
rnacentral:rRNA from 1 species